AGAGCAGUGCAGCACGAGGGGGCCUCGGGGCCUGACACAGUCCCCGAGCUUCGGUUGCCAGCUCUACCAAGUGGCAAGGUUUCCGUGUGUGUCCACCUGGGGCUGGUUGGAGGACUGGCCGCAGGGUCCAUCAGCUACGUGACCUUGGACAAUGACAAAAUGCCUUCCAGGACUAAAAAGAAUUGGUGAGGUACACAGCAAAACAGAUGAAUCUCAAAAACAUGCUGAGGUAAAGAAGCCAGACCCAAAGACAUCUCCGCCGUGGCCAGAUGGAGAUUCAAGACCCAAGCCUGCUUUUCUGCAUCAGUGCCGGCUCUGCGUGUUAAGAUACAACAGUCAAAACAGAAACCACAGCCACAGCCACAGCCUGCAAAAAUUCCCAGGCCAGAGACGGAGUGCAAGCCACAUCAGGGAUAACGCUGGAUCCUUAACACACCAAGCCACCACGGAACUCUGAGUUGAGGUUAUUUCUGAUCCAGGUAAGCAAGGCAUCUUCGGGCCACCUCCCCACUCAGAUUCCCAAGAGAAGCUGGAGCGAGGGCUCCUGCCCCAUUUUCCACUAAGGUACUGGCUGAGUCUGCCAGCCUCACUGUCUUGUCUUCUGGGAAACGGGUUACAUGGAUGUCAUUGCCAAGAGCAGGUUCCCUGCAGCAAAGAGCUGUCGUGGGGCAGGGUGGGGGCCCUACUGAGGAGAGAGAGCGGCCUUCUCGGGGCCCAGCUCCCCUCUCCGCUAUCAUAUCUGAGACAGGCUGACCCUCCAGCCCUGCAGCCCAGCCCAGGAACAGCAACCACUUCCUGGAGCGAGUUCCCUGAACAGGCGGCCCUCAGGCCAGGCUCCGGGAGGUCAGCUCUGUAGGAAAGAGGGAGGGGCACAGCCUUGGGGAGCCUGAGGCAUCCCCAGCAGCGCUCCUGCCCCUGAGGGCCGCCAGCUCAGGGCAAGGCCCACGUUAGCAAGCCCCACACAGGCUGUGCUGCUUCCAAGACACCUCUGCCAGGCAAGGGGCCUAUGCCACCCAGCAGCUAUGUGACCUGGGCCAUGCCUCUUGCAUGUCCUGAAAACAGGGAUAAGCCCUGCCCUGCCCUGAGCUGGGAUCCUUGGCAGCACAGAGGCUGAUGGGGACAGGCUGGAGGUCCAGGCUGGCCAGGGACACACCCAGCAUCAGGGAAUCUAAGGCCUGAUCACCCAAGCGCCCCCGCCACCUGGGGGGGGGGUGUGGGCAGUUACCUCCUCCAUGAGACAGUGGCAUCCAGCACCCUCAGCACACCGUGGUGACCACAUCUUGGUAUAACUAUAUAUGCUAAUUAUAAACAGCAAUUAUUAUUGAAAGAGCACUGGCCUUGGAAGUCAGAAGCUGCAGAUAUGAACCCCAGCACUGCCGCCUCCAGGCUGUAUCCUCCAGUAAGUUCUUGAUCUCCUUAGUGCCGGUUCUCUGUCCGCAAAUAAGGAUCCAGCGCUGACUCUGAGCAACAGAGAAAACAGUGGAAGGGAAAGUCUGCCAACUGCAAAUGGUCACAUCUCCUCCAUCA
rnacentral:lncRNA from 1 species